UACGUAGGGUGCGAGCGUUGUCCGGAAUUACUGGGCGUAAAGAGCUCGUAGGUGGUUUGUCGCGUUGUCCGUGAAAACUCACAACUCAAUUGUGGGCGUGCGGGCGAUACGGGCAGACUGGAGUACUGCAGGGGAGACUGGAAUUCCUGGUGUAGCGGUGGAAUGCGCAGAUAUCAGGAGGAACACCGGUGGCGAAGGCGGUUCUCUGGGCCUUACCUGACGCUGAGGAGCGAAAGCAUGGGGAGCGAACAGG
rnacentral:rRNA from 1 species